GAUGAUCCAUGGGGAAGUGUGGCAGCUGUGGCUCAACCUUCCACCGCAAAGCAUAUGGAUGCAAAUAAUGAUUCCUGGGGGAGUGUGGCAGCGAAAGCUCAAACUUCUACUGCAGAGCAUAUGGAUGCAAAUAAUGAUUCCUGGGGAAGUGUGGCAGCUAAAACUUCUACUGCAGAGCCUAUGGACACAAAGGAUGAUUCCUGGGGAAGUGUGGCAGCUAAAGCUUCUAUCGCAGAGCCUAUGGACGCAGGGAAUGAUUCCUGGGGGAGUGUGGCAGCAAAGGCUCAGACUUCUACUGCACAGCAGGAGUCCUGGG
rnacentral:lncRNA from 1 species